GUAAAUGUAGUUUAAACAAAACACUAGAUUGUGAAUCUAGCAAUAGAGCCUAAAAACUCUUAUUUACC
rnacentral:tRNA from 1 species